rnacentral:rRNA from 1 species
CCUACGGGAGGCAGCAGUGAGGAAUAUUGGUCCAAUGGGCGAGAGCCUGAACCAAGCCAAUUCGCGUGAAGGAAGAAGGUCUUAUGGAUUGUAAACUUCUUUUACAGGGGAAUAAAGAUGAGUACGCGUACUCAAGUUGUAGUACCCUGAGAAUAAGGAUCGGCUAACUCCGUGCCAGCAGCCGCGGUAAUACGGAGGAUUCGAGCGUUAUCCGGAUUUAUUGGGUUUAAAGGGUGCGCAGGCGGGUUGAUAAGUCAGUGGUGAAAGGUUUACGCUUAACGUAGACAUUGCCAUUGAAACUGUCGAUCUUGAGUACAAAUGAGGUAGGCGGAAUGUGUUGUGUAGCGGUGAAAUGCAUAGAUAUGACACAGAACACCGAUUGCGAAGGCAGCUUACUGGGAUGUAACUGACGCUCAGGCACGAAAGCGUGGGGAUCAAACAGGAUUAGAUACCCUGGUAGUCCACGCAGUAAACGAUGAUUACUAGCUGUUAGCGAUAGAAUGUUAGUGGCUAAGCGAAAGCGAUAAGUAAUCCACCUGGGGAGUACGACCGCAAGGUUGAAACUCAAAGGAAUUGACGG